rnacentral:rRNA from 1 species
GGGGUGUGACUGCGUACCUUUUGUAUAAUGGGUCAGCGACUUAUAUUCUGUAGCAAGGUUAACCGAAUAGGGGAGCCGGAGGGAAACCGAGUCUUAAUUGGGCGUUAAGUUGCAGGGUAUAGACCCGAAACCCGGUGAUCUAGCCAUGGGCAGGUUGAAGGUUGGGUAACACUAACUGGAGGACCGAACCGACUAAUGUUGAAAAAUUAGCGGAUGACCUGUGGCUGGGGGUGAAAGGCCAAUCAAACCGGGAGAUAGCUGGUUCUCCCCGAAAGCUAUUUAGGUAGCGCCUCGUGAAUUCAUCUCCGGGGGUAGAGCACUGUUUCGGCUAGGGGGCCAUCCCGGCUUACCAACCCGAUGCAAACUGCGAAUACCGGAGAAUGUUAUCACGGGAGACACACGGCGGGUGCUAACGUCCGUCGUGAAGAGGGAAACAACCCAGACCGCCAGCUAAGGUCCCAAAGUCAUAGUUAAGUGGGAAACGAUGUGGGAAGGCCCAGACAGCCAGGAUGUUGGCUUAGAAGCAGCCAUCAUUUAAAGAAAGCGUAAUAGCUCACUGGUCGAGUCGGCCUGCGCGGAAGAUGUAACGGGGCUAAACUAUGCACCGAAGCUGCGGCAGCGACACUAUGUGUUGUUGGGUAGGGGAGCGUUCUGUAAGCCUGUGAAGGUGUGUCGUGAGGCAUGCUGGAGGUAUCAGAAGUGCGAAUGCUGACAUAAGUAACGAUAAAGCGGGUGAAAAGCCCGCUCGCCGGAAGACCAAGGGUUCCUGUCCAACGUUAAUCGGGGCAGGGUGAGUCGACCCCUAAGGCGAGGCCGAAAGGCGUAGUCGAUGGGAAACGGGUUAAUAUUCCCGUACUUGGUGUUACUGCGAAGGGGGGACGGAGAAGGCUAUGUUGGCCGGGCGACGGUUGUCCCGGUUUAAGCGUGUAGGUGUGUGUUCCAGGUAAAUCCGGUUCACUUUAACACUGAGGCGUGACGACGAGGCACUACGGUGCUGAAGCAACAAAUGCCCUGCUUCCAGGAAAAGCCUCUAAGCAUCAGGUAACAUCAAAUCGUACCCCAAACCGACACAGGUGGUCAGGUAGAGAAUACCAAGGCGCUUGAGAGAACUCGGGUGAAGGAACUAGGCAAAAUGGUGCCGUAACUUCGGGAGAAGGCACGCUGACACGUAGGUGAAGUGAUUUACUCAUGGAGCUGAAGUCAGUCGAAGAUACCAGCUGGCUGCAACUGUUUAUUAAAAACACAGCACUGUGCAAACACGAAAGUGGACGUAUACGGUGUGACGCCUGCCCGGUGCCGGAAGGUUAAUUGAUGGGGUCAGCGCAAGCGAAGCUCCUGAUCGAAGCCCCGGUAAACGGCGGCCGUAACUAUAACGGUCCUAAGGUAGCGAAAUUCCUUGUCGGGUAAGUUCCGACCUGCACGAAUGGCGUAAUGAUGGCCAGGCUGUCUCCACCCGAGACUCAGUGAAAUUGAACUCGCUGUGAAGAUGCAGUGUACCCGCGGCAAGACGGAAAGACCCCGUGAACCUUUACUAUAGCUUGACACUGAACAUUGAGCCUUGAUGUGUAG